rnacentral:rRNA from 1 species
AGGAUGAACGCUGGCGGCGUGCUUAACACAUGCAAGUCGAACGAUGAAGGCUGGAGCUUGCUCUGGCUGGAUUAGUGGCGAACGGGUGAGUAACACGUGAGUAACCUGCCCCAGACUCUGGGAUAAGCGCUGGAAACGGCGUCUAAUACCGGAUACGAGCUUCCACCGCAUGGUGAGGAGCUGGAAAGAAUUUCGGUCUGGGAUGGACUCGCGGCCUAUCAGCUUGUUGGUGAGGUAAUGGCUCACCAAGGCGACGACGGGUAGCCGGCCUGAGAGGGUGACCGGCCACACUGGGACUGAGACACGGCCCAGACUCCUACGGGAGGCAGCAGUGGGGAAUAUUGCACAAUGGGCGCAAGCCUGAUGCAGCAACGCCGCGUGAGGACGAAGGCCUUCGGUUGUAACCUCUUUAGUAGGAAGAAGCGAGGUGUUUAUUCACUUCACGACGUACCUGCAGAAAAGCACCGCUAACUACGUGUCCAGCA